rnacentral:rRNA from 1 species
AGAGUUUGAUCCUGGCUCAGGAUGAACGCUGGCGGCGUGCUUAACACAUGCAAGUCGAACGAUGAUCCCAGCUUGCUGGGGGAUUAGUGGCGAACGGGUGAGUAACACGUGAGUAACCUGCCCUUAACUCUGGGAUAAGCCUGGGAAACUGGGUCUAAUACCGGAUAUGACUCCUCAUCGCAUGGUGGGGGGUGGAAAGCUUUAUUGUGGUUUUGGAUGGACUCGCGGCCUAUCAGCUUGUUGGUGAGGUAAUGGCUCACCAAGGCGACGACGGGUAGCCGGCCUGAGAGGGUGACCGGCCACACUGGGACUGAGACACGGCCCAGACUCCUACGGGAGGCAGCAGUGGGGAAUAUUGCACAAUGGGCGAAAGCCUGAUGCAGCGACGCCGCGUGAGGGAUGACGGCCUUCGGGUUGUAAACCUCUUUCAGUAGGGAAGAAGCGAAAGUGACGGUACCUGCAGAAGAAGCGCCGGCUAACUACGUGCCAGUAGCCGCGGUAAUACGUAGGGCGCAAGCGUUAUCCGGAAUUAUUGGGCGUAAAGAGCUCGUAGGCGGUUUGUCGCGUCUGCCGUGAAAGUCCGGGGCUCAACUCCGGAUCUGCGGUGGGUACGGGCAGACUAGAGUGAUGUAGGGGAGACUGGAAUUCCUGGUGUAGCGGUGAAAUGCGCAGAUAUCAGGAGGAACACCGAUGGCGAAGGCAGGUCUCUGGGCAUUAACUGACGCUGAGGAGCGAAAGCAUGGGGAGCGAACAGGAUUAGAUACCCCCGUAGUCC